GCCAAUGUGGUGUAAUGGUCUGAGUGUUGGAUUGCAACUCUGGAGACCAGGGUUCAAAUCCUUGCUUGGCC